rnacentral:rRNA from 1 species
GUUGAUCCCGCCGGACCCACACUGCUAUCGGGAUGGGACUAAGACAUGCAUAGCUCGUGCGCCUCCAAGCCACGGUGGAGGUGCGGCGCACAGCUCANAUAACACGUGGCUAACCUACCCUUGGGACGGGGACAACUCCGGGAAACUGGAGCUAAUUCCCGAUAGGUGAGGACUCCUGGAAUGGGUCUUCACCGAAAAGACGCCUAAACCAUGCCUUUAGGCGCCGCCCAAGGAUGGGGCCGCGGCCGAUCAGGUUGUUGGUGAGGUAACGGCUCACCAAGCCUAUAACCGGUACGGGCCGUGGGAGCGGGAGCCCGGAGAUGGGCACUGAGACAAGGGCCCAGGCCCUACGGGGCGCAGCAGUCGCGAAACCUCCGCAAUACACGAAAGUGUGACGGGGCCAUCCCGAGUGCCAUCCGUUGAGGAUGGCUUUUCCCCAGUGUAGACAGCUGGGGGAAUAAGGAGAGGGCAAGCCGGGUGUCAGCCGCCGCGGUAAUACCCGCUCUCCGAGUGGUGGGGACGCUUAUUGGGCCUAAAGCAUCCGUAGCCGGCUGGAUAAUUCCCCUGUUAAAUCCAGCGAUUCAAUCGUUGGACUGCGGGGGAUACUGUCCAGCUAGGGGGCGGGAGAGGCCGACGGUAUUCCCGGGGUAGGGGUGAAAUCUUAUAAUCCCGGGAGGACCACCAGUGGCGAAGGCUGUCGGCUAGAACGCGCCCGACGGUGAGGGAUGAAAGCUGGGGGAGCUAACCGGAUUAGAUACCCGGGUAGUUCCCAGCUGUAAAACGAUGCAAGGCUAGUUGUUAACGCNGG